rnacentral:lncRNA from 1 species
AUUUAACCACCGGUUGCCAUCAACAAGAGCAUGAAGUGUCCACUUUUCUUGGUUGGUGACGCCAGAUGAGGGUGAUGAUUCACGCAUUCACCCGUUGAUUCCCAAGAGUUCCAAACAAAAUUUGCAUGCUACCUGCACAAAAAUAAAAGUGAAGACGUGUCCAUGAAACGAAAGUGGCCUAAGUUUAGGGUUUCUUAUUACUCCAUAUUUUCCGAAAUAUUUGACACCGUUAAUUUUUUUAUACACUUUUGACUAUUCGUCUUAUUCAAAAGUUUACAUAAUUAUUAAUUAGUUUUAUAUCAUUUUAUUUAUUGUUAAAUAUACUUUUAUGCAUAUAUAUAUCUUUAAAUAAGACGGAUAGUCAAAUGUUUAUAAAGAAGUCAAUAGCGUCAGGCCGAAUUACAGUGUGGGCUUUGGUUCGUUCAUAUAUUGUUCAGCCGCUCUGUACAGCUUUUUUUUUCCCCUGAAAUACGCCGGCGAGCUCUUCGCUCCAGAAGUUUGGAUCAGCGAAAAACGAAAAGUACGUGUGGUAAAUUAUAUUACAGAUAGAUGUUACAAAUUUUAUGUAUACAUAGAGUGUACCAGAGUAAAAUACACAAUUUAAAUUUUAACAGCAGCGCGAGGGCGUCUGAUUUGUUUAGCUACAUUUGGCGUUUGACAAUAAGCACCUAUUAUGUUACAAGAGAGCUUUCAAAUGAGGUAUCACGUUUGCUGUGGAGACAUAGAAAUUAUCAUAUUAAUCGAGAAAAAAAUAAACGUUAAAUCAUGGUAAGUCUAGAUUUUAAAAGGUGAAGAUUAAUUUAUAAAUAUAUAUGAGAAAUACGAUCAUAUUUGGAGACAAAGAAAUAAUUACGGUAACCUCCCGAUUUGGAUAGACCUAUGGAAUGGGACUUGAAGCAAACUGUGAUAGGCUAAUUUAGACCAGUUAGCAUUGCCCGCGUGCUCUUUCUCUCUCUAAGAAUAAUAACAUACUACCUCCAUAUUUGAUUUUUUUGUCUAACGUUUCAUCAUUUGUCUUGUUCAAAAAUUUAGAACAAAUAUAAAUAAUGACAAGUCGUGCUUAAAGUUUUUUUUUGAUAAUAAAGUAAGUAACAAGAAAAAAAUAAUAUUUCUAUAAUUUUUAAAUAAGAUAAAUGGUCAAAACAUUGAUAUGUCCUGUCCUGAUUUUCUUUCGAUUCUUUUCAAAUUUAUUUGACCAAGUCCUGAUUUCCUUUGAUUCUUUUACAUUUUUUGUCCGUUUUUAAGUCCUAAUUUCUAUUAUAGAAACAUUGAUAUGUCCCAUUAAUCUUUUCUCUAUUUUUUUAAUUGCUAUCGAUCUGAUUUGUCAUUACAUAUGGAGAAACUACAAAUAUGAUAUGAUGACAUGAUUUUUUUUAUUAUUCGUUCCGAUUGAUCUAUAGUCCGAUUAAAAAUACGAUCUAUCGACCUGAUCUUUUGUGUUAUAGCAAAUAUUCAUUCGAUUGAUCUUUUCUUUUAUAUUUAUUCGAUUAAUCUUAGAAUUUCUAGCAUAUAUAUAAUAGAUUUUUGUCCGAUUCCACACAAACAUUUUUUUCUUUUUUUAUUAUUUCACAUAGUUUUUUUUUGAAAAAAUCUUAGUCUGAUUCCACGUGCGUAUGCAGUACUUUUUACUUUUUCCUCUUAUUUUCCACUGUUGUAACAAAAUGUGUACGUAGUUUUCCUUUUAAAAAAUCACGUUCAGUUGUUCGAUCAAAAAAAAAUUCCUCUUAUUUUUCACGGUUGUAACAAACCGUGUAAGUAGUUUUCCUUUUUAAAAAGUCACGUUCUUAAAAAUUGUCCGAUCCCAAAAUCUUUGCCUCUUAUUUUCCACUGUUGUAACAAACUGUUUACACAGUUUCCUUUUUCAAAAAUUCACAGUAUUAUUUUAGGAGUUGUCCGAUCAAAAAAAAUCCUUAUCUUAUUUUUUGUUUUAUUUUCCUUGGAAUAAAGUGGUACUCCCUUCAUAUUUUUAUGUAUGACACCGUUGACUUUUAGAAUAACGUUUGAUCAUUCGUCUUAUUCAAAAUUUAUAUUCAAAUAUACAAAAUUAUAAUGCAUAAUUAAAGUUUCUAUAAUAAUAAAUCAUAUUAUAACAAAAUAAUUAAUAAUUAUAUAACUUUUUUAAUAAGAUGAAUGUCAAAUGUAGACCAAUAAAUCAACGGCACCAUAUUAAAAAAAUAUGAAGGAAGUAUUUUUCUAACCUUAUUUUCCUAUUACUGAGAAGAUGCCUUUCUUCCUCCUCCGUCUAUUCCCAUCGUCUUCCCCAAGUGCCAUGCCACUCUUCCCGCAUUCUCAGCCUCUCUGUAAUCUGUCUGUUCCAUUAAAGAAAAAAAAGGGCAAAAGAAAAAAAAAAGAAAUUAUGUGCGUCUCCGAUCUGCAGUGCGAGCCGGAGGUUCUCCUCGUCCUCGCGCGCGCGGCCAGCGAGAAGCCCGGACGAGCACUCUCCUCUCCUCUCCUUCCCGACCCCGACCACCCCCUCUGUGCGGCUUCGCUU